rnacentral:rRNA from 1 species
UACGAAGGGGGCUAGCGUUGUUCGGAAUUACUGGGCGUAAAGCGUGCGCAGGCGGCUUCUCAAGUCAGGGGUGAAAGCCCAGAGCUCAACUCUGGAAUUGCCUUUGAGACUGAGUGGCUUGAGUACGAGAGAGGUGAGUGGAAUUCCCAGUGUAGAGGUGAAAUUCGUAGAUAUUGGGAAGAACACCGGUGGCGAAGGCGGCUCACUGGCUCAUUACUGACGCUCAGGCGCGAUAGCGUGGGGAUCAAACAGG